UCCCAUAAAGGGGUUAGUAUUACCCCUUAAUGGGAAACUUUGUAGCAUGUAGCA
rnacentral:sRNA from 12 species